rnacentral:rRNA from 1 species
AACGAACGCUGGCGGCAGGCUUAACACAUGCAAGUCGAACGCCCCGCAAGGGGAGUGGCAGACGGGUGAGUAACGCGUGGGAACGUGCCCUUCGCUUCGGAAUAGCCCCGGGAAACUGGGAGUAAUACCGGAUACGCCGUAUUGGGAAAGAUUUAUCGGCGAAGGAUCGGCCCGCGUUAGAUUAGCUAGUUGGCGGUGUAAUGGACCACCAAGGCUACGAUCUAUAGCUGGUCUGAGAGGAUGAUCAGCCACACUGGGACUGAGACACGGCCCAGACUCCUACGGGAGGCAGCAGUGGGGAAUCUUGGACAAUGGGCGCAAGCCUGAUCCAGCCAUGCCGCGUGAGUGAAGAAGGCCUUAGGGUUGUAAAACUCUUUCGCCGGAGAAGAUAAUGACGGUAUCCGGAGAAGAAGCCCCGGCUAACUUCGUGCCAGCAGCCGCCGUAAGAC